rnacentral:rRNA from 1 species
AACGAGGGGGACGAGCGUUAUUCAUCAUGACUGGGCGUAAAAGGUUCGUAGACGGUAAAGUAAGUUUCUUGUUAAAGAUUAAAGCCUAACUUUUAACCAGCUUGUAAAUACUGCUUUACUUGAGUUUUAAUACGGGAGAAUAGAAUUUUAUUUGUAAGGUUAAAAUCUAACUAUAAAUAAAGGAAUGCUAGCAGCGGAGGCGAUUCUCUAGUAAAAACUGACGUUGAUGAACGAAAGUAUGGGUAGCAAACAGG